rnacentral:rRNA from 1 species
AGAGUUUGAUCCUGGCUCAGAGCGAACGCUGGCGGCAUGCUUAACACAUGCAAGUCGCACGGGCAGCUUCGGCUGUCAGUGGCGGACGGGUGAGUAACGCGUAGGUAUUUAUCCAGGGGUGGGGGACAACCGCGGGAAACUGCGGCUAAUACCGCAUGAUGACUGAGGUCUAAAGCCCUUCGGGGCGCCUUUGGCGAAGC